rnacentral:rRNA from 1 species
GACGAACGCUGGCGGCGCGCCUAACACAUGCAAGUCGAACGAGCGAGAGAGAGCUUGCUUUCUCAAGCGAGUGGCGAACGGGUGAGUAACGCGUGAGGAACCUGCCUCAAAGAGGGGGACAACAGUUGGAAACGACUGCUAAUACCGCAUAAGCCCACAGGUCGGCAUCGACCAGAGGGAAAAGGAGCAAUCCGCUUUGAGAUGGCCUCGCGUCCGAUUAGCUAGUUGGUGAGGUAACGGCCCACCAAGGCAACGAUCGGUAGCCGGACUGAGAGGUUGAACGGCCACAUUGGGACUGAGACACGGCCCAGACUCCUACGGGAGGCAGCAGUGGGGAAUAUUGCACAAUGGGGGAAACCCUGAUGCAGCGACGCCGCGUGGAGGAAGAAGGUCUUCGGAUUGUAAACUCCUGUUGUUGAGGAAGAUAAUGACGGUACUCGACAAGGAAGUGACGGCUAACUACGUG